rnacentral:rRNA from 1 species
CGGGACGGGUGAGUAACGCGUGGGUAACCUGCCUCAUACAGGGGGAUAACAGUUAGAAAUGACUGCUAAUACCGCAUAAGACCACAGCACCGCAUGGUGCGGGGGUAAAAACUCCGGUGGUAUGAGAUGGACCCGCGUCUGAUUAGCUAGUUGGUAAGGUAACGGCUUACCAAGGCGACGAUCAGUAGCCGACCUGAGAGGGUGACCGGCCACAUUGGGACUGAGACACGGCCCAG